CGCGGCCCCGCACCAGCCCGCCUGGCCCAGCCUGCCUGGCGGAGGCCCAAGCGAGAAGCGAGUGUUUAGGAUGCUCACGCAAGGCAGCUGCUUCCUUGCUCUUUCAACUUUCUGUUUUUCCUCUCCUCCUCCCACCGUGUGCCAGCAGGUGAAGCAACACUCCGGAAAACAUCCAAAAGAAAGAUAAAAUAAUCACCAGUAGGGAAAAAUAGCAGUAGAGUAAAUCCAUUACUGCAACCGUGCUAAUUAUGCCUGCUGUGGGGUGGGGGGAGAAGACAUGGAGAACAAUGAUCCUGAGUCCGUUAACAGAACGUAGCAAGACCAGAAGAGAGAAUCUACCCCUCGCACUUUUGCCAAGCCACAGGUGAAUCCACAGAGAAAUGUGGAGAUGAGCGAGAGUGCUGCUUCCAUGUUGUUCCUGAUAAUCAGCACCAGGAGAAGACAGCAAGAACCAAGAAGAUAAACCAGCCCUCACUCAUUAGCCAGGGCCCAGGUCAAACCACAGAGGAAUUGUCAAGAUGAGCCAAAAUGCUGCUUCUGUGGCAACCAGCACAGGGUGAUGGAGACAGAUGCUGAGGAUACUCAAACAUACAAAGCAGAAAUCCAGAAGCUGCUGGGAACUCAACACUGAAGUAGACUUAAAACAGACCUACCACAGUUCAGGGAAUUUUGCUGAAGAGGGGCAGAAAGAUUGUAACAGCCACAGAGUGGAACAGAAUGGUCAGAG